rnacentral:rRNA from 1 species
CUUGCUCACACAUAUGAGGUCCAGCCUGCCCAGUGACAUUGUUCAACGGCCGCGGUAUCCUAACCGUGCGAAGGUAGCGUAAUCACUUGUUCUUUAAAUAAGGACUAGUAUGAAAGGCACCACGAGAGUCAUACUGUCUCCUUUCUCUAAUCAGUGAAACUGAUCUCCCCGUGAAGAAGCGGGGAUAAAGAUAUAAGACGAGAAGACCCUAUGGAGCUUAAAACAAAUAACACCUGCCCCUAAAAAUUCAUAAUUUCAGAAAAAUUUUCUACCCCGGCACCAUGAUUAUUAGUUUUCGGUUGGGGUGACCACGGAAUAAAAAGCAACCUCCGCAAUGAAAGACACUCAUCCACUUAAUUAAGGGCCACAACCCCACACAUCAACAAAUUGACACUAAUUGACCCAACAUGUUGAUCAAUGAAC